rnacentral:rRNA from 1 species
GAACGCUAGCUACAGGCUUAACACAUGCAAGCGAGGGGCAUCAGGAAUCUAGCUUGCUAGGUUGCUGGCGACCGGCGCACGGGUGAGUAACGCGUAUCCAACCUUCCCCUUAGUAGGGCAUAGCCCGGCGAAAGUCGGAUUAAUACCCUAUGUUCUUUACGGCAGACAUCUAAUGUAAAGCAAAGAUUCAUCGCUAAGGGAUGGGGAUGCGUCCGAUUAGGUAGUCGGCGGGGUAACGGCCCACCGAGCCUUCGAUCGGUAGGGGUUCUGAGAGGAAGGUCCCCCACAUUGGAACUGAGACACGGUCCAAACUCCUACGGGAGGCAGCAGUGAGGAAUAUUGGUCAAUGGACGUAGGUCUGAACCAGCCAAGUAGCGUGCAGGAUGACGGCCCUAUGGGUUGUAAGCUGCUUUUGCCGGGGAAUAAAGUGCGGUACGUGUGCCGUUUUGUAUGUACCCGGAGAAUAAGGACCGGCUAAUUCCGUGCCAGCAGCGGC